rnacentral:rRNA from 1 species
ACGAACGCUGGCGGCGUGGAUAAGACAUGCAAGUCGAACGAGAGAAUUGCUAGCUUGCUAAUAAUUCUCUAGUGGCGCACGGGUGAGUAACACGUGAGUAACCUGCCCCCGAGAGCGGGAUAGCCCUGGGAAACUGGGAUUAAUACCGCAUAGUAUCGAAAGAUUAAAGCAGCAAUGCGCUUGGGGAUGGGCUCGCGGCCUAUUAGUUAGUUGGUGAGGUAACGGCUCACCAAGGCGAUGACGGGUAGCCGGUCUGAGAGGAUGUCCGGCCACACUGGAACUGAGACACGGUCCAGACACCUACGGGUGGCAGCAGUCGAGAAUCAUUCACAAUGGGGGAAACCCUGAUGGUGCGACGCCGCGUGGGGGAAUGAAGGUCUUCGGAUUGUAAACCCCUGUCAUGUGGGAGCAAAUUAAAAAGAUAGUACCACAAGAGGAAGAGACGGCUAACUCUGUGCCAGCAGCCGCGGUAAUACAGAGGUCUCAAGCGUUGUUCGGAAUCACUGGGCGUAAAGCGUGCGUAGGCUGUUUCGUAAGUCGUGUGUGAAAGGCGCGGGCUCAACCCGCGGACGGCACAUGAUACUGCGAGACUAGAGUAAUGGAGGGGGAACCGGAAUUCUCGGUGUAGCAGUGAAAUGCGUAGAUAUCGAGAGGAACACUCGUGGCGAAGGCGGGUUCCUGGACAUUAACUGACGCUGAGGCACGAAGGCCAGGGGAGCGAAAGGGAUUAGAUACCCCUGUAGUCCUGGCAGUAAACGGUGCACGCUUGGUGUGCGGGGAAUCGACCCCCUGCGUGCCGGAGCUAACGCGUUAAGCGUGCCGCCUGGGGAGUACGGUCGCAAGAUUAAAACUCAAAGAAAUUGACGGGGACCCGCACAAGCGGUGGAGUAUGUGGCUUAAUUCGAUGCAACGCGAAGAACCUUACCUGGGCUUGACAUGUAAUGAACAACAUGUGAAAGCAUGCGACUCUUCGGAGGCGUUACACAGGUGCUGCAUGGCCGUCGUCAGCUCGUGUCGUGAGAUGUUUGGUUAAGUCCAGCAACGAGCGCAACCCCUGUUGCCAGUUACCAGCACGUGAAGGUGGGAACUCUGGCGAGACUGCCCAGAUCAACUGGGAGGAAGGUGGGGACGACGUCAGGUCAGUAUGGCCCUUAUGCCCAGGGCUGCACACGUACUACAAUGCCCAGUACAGAGGGGGCCGAAGCCGCGAGGCGGAGGAAAUCCUAAAAACUGGGCCCAGUUCGGACUGUAGGCUGCAACCCGCCUACACGAAGCCGGAAUCGCUAGUAAUGGCGCAUCAGCUACGGCGCCGUGAAUACGUUCCCGGGUCUUGUACACACCGCCCGUCACAUCAUGGAAGCCGGUCGCACCCGAAGUAUCUGAAGCCAACCGCAAGGAGGCAGGGUCCUAAGGUGAGACUGGUAACUGGGAUG